CUCCUCCCUUCAUGCCUCCAGAGCGGAGAGAUCGAUUUCCCAACCCGCCCGGUUCCAGCCAUUCGGCGGCAGGGAUCAAACACCUAGAAACUGAAAGGCAGGGGGGGAAAGCCAACAAAAGCCGAUAUCUCGCCUCACCUCUCCGAGAGUUAUUGAUGGUGCAUCACAUGUCUGAUCAACAAAGUAAUCAGUGAUAGAGAAGCUCGACCUAUUUGUGUGAACAGGCGUUCAGCGUCAUGAACAUCAACAAAGCCAGCUACAGAUCCAAGUUAACUGAACAACAGCUCAGAUCCAUCCUGAGAAUCGCCACAACAAAACUAAAUCCAGACUUUGAUGCGCUGGCUAAAAAGGGAGACCAACAACACUGU